AGCGAGGGCAGAGGCCCCCACGGGUAGGGCAGCAGAGAUGGCCAGGAAUAGUUGGAUUGGGGUAUUUUUCGGAGCUGGAGUCUACACAGUUUGAUGUCAGAUUGGGUGGGGAAGGUGAGGGAGAGGGUGAUUUGGGGUAUUUUUCGGAGCUGGAGUCUACACAGUUUGAUGUCAGAUUGGGUGGGGAAGGUGAGGGAGAGGGUGAUGUCAAGAAGGACUCCAAGGCUUCUGGCCUGAGCCCUGGGUGGAGGGCGGGGACAUAUCCUGAGAGGAGAGAGCCUGAGUUGAGUUUGGGACACGGGGAGUUGAACAUGCCCUUGAGACAUCCAAGUACAGGUCCCAGGGACAGCAGGGUAUGCACC
rnacentral:lncRNA from 1 species